rnacentral:lncRNA from 1 species
GAUAUUUUGAUAAGUUCGAAAUAACACCCUUCAAGGCCAAGGGCCUUCUCCAUCAAAAAGUAAAGGUUCGACCUCGAUCGAACGACGACGGGUUAUUAUUUCGAUAAGUUCGAAAUAACACCCUUCAAGGCCAAGGGCCUUCUCCAUCAAAAAAGAAAGGAUCGACCUCGAUCGAACGACGACGGGCUGUUAUUUCGAUAAAUUCGAAAUAACACCCAUCAAGGCCAAGGGCCUUCCCCAUCUAAAAGAAAAAGUUCGACCUCGAUCGAACGACGACUGGCUGAUAUUUUGAUAAGUUCGAAAUAACACCCUUCAAGGCCAAGAGCCUUCUCCGUCAAAAAGUAAAGGUUCGACCUCGAUCGAACGACGACGGGCUAUUAUUUCGAUAAGUUCGAAAUAACACCCUUCAAGGCCAAGGGCCUUCUCCAUCAAAAAAGAAAGGUUCGACCUCGAUAGAGCGACGACAGGCUGUUAUUUCGAUAAAUUCGAAAAAACACCCUUCAAGGGCAUGGGCCUUCGCAAUUAAAAAAGAAAGGUUCGACCUCGAUCGAGCGAUGACGGGCUGUUAUUUCGAUAAGUU